CCACCUUCCAACAAUUGCCUAUACCUACUUGUGCUUGCAGGGUCGCGGGGUGGCUGAUGCCUAUAACCAGCAAUCAUUUUGGGGAGAGACAUGGAACAAACCGGAGUACCUGGAAAGAAUCCAUGCAUGCAUGACAAGAAGAUGCAAGCUGUAUGCAGAAGGACCCCAUCGGUCUGAGGCAACAGAGCUACCAGCUGUGCCACAGUGGAGCCCCAAAAUCUAAUCAUGUCAUCACAACAAUGCUUCUCAUUAUGCCGUUUACAACUGUUCUUUGGAGCUUUGGACUGAGAAGUAGUUUGUAUGACAAGCUCAGCAGAUCUGCAGUUCCUCCAGGUGUUUCCUAAUUGCUGCUGCUAGUCUAGAGGAGCUGAGUGGGUGAGGAGCUAUCCAGGGAUGCUUUGUGAGACGGAGGUUUGGUUGGGCCCUGCAGAUCAGAGGAGAAGCUAUAUGGAAAAGGCAGCAACAGAAGACUUAAGGAUUCCUCCACCAUGAAAGAAUCAAAGCAACACUCCAGCAGGUGUACACAAAUUCAGCCUAUCUGUAAAGCAAGACAAGUUAACACAAGCUCUGCACAGAAGGAAUUUUGAAGAUGAUGGACAUCAUAUGCCUGUGAUGGACCUGCAAUCUGUUCCUCUCCCCUCACCUGGUACUCAGUGUCUGCUGUACUGACAGCCAGCAGAUCCCCUCUCUGUCCCCCAACAAACAAACCACACGUCAUGUCGGUAGCAAUUUAAGCAUUUGUUCUACUGCCAUCUAGUGGUCUUUUUCUCUGCCUUCACGGCCUUGGUUUGUUUCUUUUCUCGACUCCAGCUGUGAUGACUCAUGCAAA